GAUGAACGCUAGCGAUAGGCCUAACACAUGCAAGUCGAGGGGCAUCACAUGAAGUAGCAAUACGGAUGGUGGCGACCGGCGCACGGGUGAGUAACACGUAUGCAACCUGCCUUCAACAAGGGGAUAACCCGUUGAAAGACGGACUAAUACCCUAUAACACAGGGGUCCCGCAUGGGAAUAUUUGUUAAAGGACAACCGGUUGAAGAUGGGCAUGCGUUCCAUUAGCUAGUUGGCGGGUAACGGCCCACCAAGGCAACGAUGGAUAGGGGAACUGAGAGGUUUACCCCCACACUGGUACUGAGACACGGACCAGACUCCUACGGGAGGCAGCAGUGAGGAAUAUUGGUCAAUGGACGCAAGUCUGAACCAGCCAC
rnacentral:rRNA from 1 species